rnacentral:rRNA from 1 species
CAGUAGCCGCGGGAAUACAGAGGGUGCGAGCGUUAAUCGGAUUUACUGGGCGUAAAGCGUGCGUAGGCGGCUUCUUAAGUCGGAUGUGAAAUCCCUGAGCUUAACUUAGGAAUUGCAUUCGAUACUGGGAAGCUAGAGUAUGGGAGAGGAUGGUAGAAUUCCAGGUGUAGCGGUGAAAUGCGUAGAGAUCUGGAGGAAUACCGAUGGCGAAGGCAGCCAUCUGGCCUAAUACUGACGCUGAGGUACGAAAGCAUGGGGAACAAACAGGAUUAGAUACCCCGGUAGUCCCUGUCUCUUAUAC